rnacentral:tRNA from 1 species
AGUCAAUGAACUUGUAUAAGUAUAUAUUUUGAAAAUAUAAAAAAAGAUUAAUGUAUCUUAUUGACUU